CUACGGAAGGCAGCAGUGGGGAAUAUUGGACAAUGGGCGCAAGCCUGAUCCAGCCAUGCCGCGUGUGUGAAGAAGGCCUUCGGGUUGUAAAGCACUUUAAGCGAGGAGGAAGGGGUGAUAGCUAAUAACUAUCAUCAUUGACGUUACUCGCAGAAUAAGCACCGGCUAACUCUGUGCCAGCAGCCGCGGUAAUACAGAGGGUGCAAGCGUUAAUCGGAAUUACUGGGCGUAAAGCGCGCGUAGGCGGUAUGUUAAGUCGGAUGUGAAAUCCCUGGGCUCAACCUAGGCAUUGCAUCCGAUACUGGCACACUAGAGUGUGGGAGAGGAAGGUAGAAUUCCAGGUGUAGCGGUGAAAUGCGUAGAGAUCUGGAGGAAUACCGAUGGCGAAGGCAGCCUUCUGGCCUAACACUGACGCUGAGGUGCGAAAGCAUGGGGAGCAAACAGGAUUAGAUACCCUGGUAGC
rnacentral:rRNA from 1 species